CACCUGCAGUGGUGCCAAACACCACAGCCUGCAAAGAGCAAGGGGUGCCAGAUGUGGAGCUGCUCUGUAAUCAUUUAGGAACACUAUGUUGAGCUGGUUAUUAGGAUGUUUACUGUAUGAAUAUGUUGGUUUAAAGUAAUUAGAGCUGGAAGGAAGACUAGCAGGAAGGAAUCAAAAGGGCUUUAGAGAAGCCAUUUCUCUGCAACCACUUGAGGGUUGUUAAGAGACAAUGUCAUUACGGGCCAUGCCUGGGAACCAGAAGAAUAAAAGGACUGAAGCAGUUUAAAAAAGGACCUUGCUUUCAAGACAACAGAACUCAGCCUGACACAGAUACCUGCGGGGGAGGUCUGAAGUUAGGCCUGCCUAGCUUACCGGCAGGGGAUGAUGAGAGAGCCCUUGUGCCUAGUCCUGUCUGGAGCUGAGUGGCGGGCCCUCAGAACUUUGUUAUCAGGCGCAACCCCAGGUCACUGAAGCUUCCAGUUGAAAGCAGUGCAGCCACAGGAGUCAUGUGCAGCAUGCUUCAGAUGUUUUUGUAUUGGCCGUGUACAUCUGUAGCCAAAGAACUUACAGCACAAGUGCAGCAAGCCAGAGGAGUUACCAUAGCGGAGCCUCAUCACUGUCAUGUUGGAAGGUGGCAACGGACUCCGAAGUACCGUGGGAACCGCCAAAGUUGGAAGACAGAGUCACCAAAACUUUACUCUACAGGCAGCUGUUCCACCAGUGCCCUUCUACCCUGCCUCCCCACAGCCAGAGCUGCUCUCUGCGCUCAUUUUGCUCUGUCCCAGGAUGGUAAUUCCAGAUGGCAUAGAAGAGGUUUCUUCCUUCUCCAUACUCCACAUCGGCCUGUAUGUCUUCCCCGCUCUGCCCCUUUAAGAAGUUGAAGUCUAGAAGGAAAAGGGGGAUAUAGAAGAAAAUCAACUCUGUGCCAUAAUGGAAGCCAGUUGUCGAGGCUCUUGCACGGAGCUUGCCAUUUUUUAUUUUCAGAUCUAUCCCUUUGCUGACAGCCUUUAGAAGAAAAGAAAAAUCUAUUUGACAGCAGUAAAACCAGCCAGCAGAGCACUUCAGAGACAGGGGAGACAUGAGAUACCAUUUUCAGCUUCCACAGAAAUUUUCUGCAGUUAAUUUUGAGGCACAGCUACGCAAACAAUGAUUCUUCCUCUUGGCAUAAGAAGUUAAAGUGGCAUGAGGCAGAGUGCAACCUUCUGGGCAACAUUUGCAGAGCGUGUAGGGACAGGAUUUCAAGCGUAUUGGCGGGAAGGGGGGUGUGUGCACAGUGGGGUGGGAGGAUAAAGCUGGCAGAUUUGGAUUUACUCUAUAGAGUGGUGAGAUGCAAAGAGAAAUGUGAUUGGGUAACAAAGGUUCCCGCCGUGCCUGACCUAACGGGUCUGGGCUUGUCGGACAAAUGUUACAAAACAGUCUUUCUAGAAACAAAGCAGCUUUAUGUGUUGUAGCCGUACGCACAGUGCUUGUCUGACUGAAGUCAGUGUGGAUUAGUGAUUUGUCUGGGGAGCCUGGGUCUACUUCCAACUCCGCUAAUGACCAUGUAGCCUUCAGCAAGUCAUGGAAUCGGUCUGUGCCUCAGUUUCCCUAUUUGUAUACUAGGGGUAGUAAUCUUAACAUAUUUUUGGAAUGCACUCUGAUAGCUCUUCUGAAAUUCCAGAUGUCAUGGAAGAUAGGUGCGUGGGCACCUGGAAUAACUGCAUGUUAGUUACUUAACUUAGAUACAUUACUACAGAAUAGGAAAUAUAUUUCUACUAGAAACACCUUGUUUCCAUUCCAAAUUCCAUAGCUAGCACUACACGAUGUAUAGCAUCCUAUUGCCAGAGAGAGGGAGAGGUAUCAGCUUCUUGGCACACACAGGAGAUUCAUGCAAUUUUCAAAACUAUUACAGGCAUUUUUAGACAGCAGCCAUCAGGGUAAAUAGUUUCCAGCACAGCCAGAAACCACUUUGUUGUGCUGUUUAGAUGAACGCCUCAGUACCAUCUCACAUCCUUUCUUCUUGGGCUUGUCUACACAUGAAUGUAAGGUGGAAUAGCUAUUCUGGAGUAAUUAUUCUGCUUUAAAUUCACCCCCCACACACUCACCUUAUUUUGGAAUAACUUUCAUAACUUAGGACUUGUCUGCAAGUGAAACUCCAAGGAGCGAGACUGAAGAUUUAGUCCCUUUGUAAGAGGAAUAGCUGGAAGAUUCAGAGAGAAGUUACACAGAGGGUUUUGCUCCGGGGCAGUUGGUUUGGCAGGUGAUUAGGGUUCAGGAGAGGACAUGGGUCCUUUGUGGACACUGUCACGGGAGAGAGGAUGAAGGGAUUUCCUAGCUUUUGCUUGCAAAUUCCAGUUGCAUGUUCCAAUAAGUAUUCCGGUCCCUCCACCGAACACCCAGGCAAACAACCCUGCAACAAGCCAACGUGGCGGGCUAGGCCCUCAGACCAGCACAUUCCAGUCCAGAAUAGAGAGGAGAUUAUUCUCCUCUGUAAGCCUCGACAAGCAUGCGAGAGGAAAGUGAGGUGAAGAGCUGGUCUUCUGCGAUUCUAGUGAACCUAAGGAUUUUACUAAAUCUGAACUAGAUCCCAGAUAACAGGUAUAUCCUGAAAGGCAAAAAGGGUGAGCUAGCUUAUUGUGGUUGAAAAGCCCCAUCAAGAUGAAGAUGAACAUGUCAGAAGCAGUGCUAGCUGGCUCUGCCGUAGACAGGAGUCAGGGUAUGUCUACACUAGAGCCCUUAUAGUGGCACAGCUGUACUGUUGCAGUUGCGCCCGCUGGCCGGUCUCCCAUGUAGUCUGUCCAUGCCAGCCAGAGAGAGCUCUCCCAUCGGUAUAAUUAACCCAUCCCUAAUGAGCGGCAGCGGCUAUGCUGGCGGGAGAGCGUCUCCCGCCGACAUAGCACUGUCCACACCGGUGCUUCUGUCCGUGUAACCUGUCAUUGGUCGGAGGAGUGUAUUUUUCACACCGCUGAGCGACAUAAGUUUUACUGACAAAAGUACUAGUGUAGACAUAGUCUAAAACACAUCCAGUUCGCACAGCUUCAAAGGCACUAGCCUGCUUUCUGAUGGGGCGUUUCAGCCACGUUGAGAUGGGGUGUAUUAGCUCAGUCAAGUUUUUUGCCCAUCAAGACCAGGCCGGUGGGACAGUAACGGCACUUGGCUGUUUGGUACGGCAAGAUGCCCAUUAAGAGCAGAGAUUCAGGCCAGGUCUCUGCUAGAAGCACUUUGCCAAUCUAGCUAUAGACCCGGUGUACUAUCCUGGCAAAACACGCCUUGUGUGGAUGCAGCUACACUGGCAAAACUGCUUUGCUGGGAUAGUUUAUUCCAGUUCCCCCACAACCCUUUCCCCCAAACAAAAUGAACAACACUGCACCAGUAGGAGUGCCCCAAAAUGAGCUCCACCAGGAAGAGCACGAUGUUGCCGGUAGAAUUGCAGCCACACUAGGAGUUUUGCUGGCACAGCUGGGGCAGUCAAGGAUCACACCUCAUCACACCCGACUGAUAUAACGCUGCUGGCAAAAGGUUGUAAUGUAGACCUGGCUUCAGUUUGCAUCCUACAGAGAGGCAAGAAACUGUUGUUCACUACAAAGUGCAGUUUCAUGGGAGCAUUUGAUAAAGUCUGGUAAAGAGCUGGGAGACACCCUCCCCCACCCCUCCAGCCAGCUCAAUAUAGAGAUUCUGGUUUUUUGAGACCGAUUAGUUUCGUUUUGGGAGGUGGUUAUUGUUAGCAAUAUUUGAGUUUCAAAAUCGGGGGGGGGGGAGGGGGUUGGGGGCUCUUUGUAUGUACUGUAAUGAGUAAUGUAUAUUUGUACAUUAAUCUCCUUGUUAUGUCCGCUAGUGCACUGUAACCCAGUACUGUUUCAAACACCGCUACACUAGGGAACCUUUAGUGCCUACCAGCAGGAUGUACACGGACCAAUUUAUGCGCAACACGCUAGAGCGCGUUAGAAAUCACACACACACUCCUUAGACAAGCCCUUAGAUACAAGUAACCAUUCCUAGUGUUUUUCUAGUGUUUAUUUGCUUUCAAUUUUAUAGGGGUGUGUUAUCCGUGUUUAUCAGCUAAAACAAAAAUCAGAAGCCCUACUCACGACCUAUGAGCAUGAGUCUGUGAAAAGUGCAUC